AAUAUACGCUAUUGGAGCUGGAAUUACCGCGGCUGCUGGCACCAGACUUGCCCUCCAAUUGAUCCUCGUUAAAGGGUUUAGAGUGUACUCAUUCCGAUUACGGGGCCUCGGAUGAGUCCCGUAUCGUUAUUUUUSGUAACUACCUCCCCGUGCCGGGAGUGGGUAAUUUGCGCGCCUGCUGCCUUCCUUGGAUGUGGUAGCCGUUUCUCAGGCUCCCUCUCCGGAAUCGAACCCUGAUUCCCCGUUACCCGUUACAACCAUGGUAGGCGCAGAACCUACCAUCGACAGUUGAUAAGGCAGACAUUUGAAAGACGCGUCGCCGGUGCGAAGACCGUGCGAUCAGCGUAAAGUUAUUCAGAGUCACCAAGUUGUACGAUGACGAGCGAACCCGCCACCGAUUGGUUUUGAUCUAAUAAAAGCACUCCUUCCGUCUCCGGUCGGAGCUCUAUUUGCAUGUAUUAGCUCUAGAAUUACCACAGUUAUCCAAGUAAUUGUGGGUACGAUCUAAGGAACCAUAACUGAUUUAAUGAGCCUUUCGCGGUUUCACCUUAAUUUGGCUUGUACUGAGACAUGCAUGGCUUAAUCUUUGAGACAAGCAUAUGACUACUGGCAGGAUCAACCAGGUUGU
rnacentral:rRNA from 1 species